ensembl:rRNA 5S_rRNA 5S ribosomal RNA
GCUUACGGCCACACCUCCCUGAGCACGUCUGAUCUCGGAAGCUAAGCAGGGUCGGGCCCGGUUAGUACUUGGAUGGGAGACCGCCUGGGAAUACCAGGUGCUGUAAGCC